UGAGGGUCAUAUAGCUGUCAUCAGAUUUCAAAAAGGAUUUUACUACCAAAAAGGCAAUAGGAAGAAAAGCAAGUGAGCUGGGUGUGGUGGCUCAUGCCUAUAAUCCCAGCACUUGGGAGGCCGAGGCGGGUGGAUCACCUGACGUCAGGAGUUCGAGACCAGCCUGGCCAACAUGGUGAAACCCCACCUCUACUAAAAAUACAAAAAUUAGCCAGGCAUGGUGGCACGAGCCUGUNNNNNNNNNNNNAAAAAAAAAAAAAAAAAAAGAAAAGAAAAGAAAAGCAAGUGGACAGGCUUUAGAAUUGGAUGAUCCAUGUUCAAACAAAGGCCCAUCCUGGAGUCCUUGGCACUUACUGUCUGCGACAGUGGUUCUCAAGUAGGGAUGAUUUUGCCCCCUAGGAACAUGUCUGGAGAAAUUGGGUAUGCUACUGGCAUUUAGUGGGCAGAGGCCAAGGAUGCUGCUAUGUAUCCUAUAAUGCACAGGGCAGGCCACACAGCAAAAAAGCACCCAGCCUCACAUGUCAGUACUAGUGAGGUUGAGAACCGCUGGUUGAGGUGUCCUGUCAAAUGAGGAAAUCUGUGCCCCACAGCCGCCUUGGGGAUUAAGGGAGGCAAUGGAUGAAGAACCCAGGACUGGGCCCUGCACACGCUCCACAGUUGCAUGGGAUUCUCCUCUCCUUAGGACUUUUUGGCCUGGGACAUGGUAGCUAGCGGGCAGAGGUGGAGUAGGCACAUAUUUUGGCUUUCAUGAGAGAACUUUCUGAAAUGAUCUUGAUGCUCCUGCCCCACCCAGCUCAUGGCACAGUUUCUCUAGAACAAUCCCAUGCUCAUUUAUCAACAAGGAAAACCCAGGCAUGGUGGCUCACACCUGCAAUCCCAGCACUUUGGGAAGCUGAGAUAGGAGGAUCACUUGAGCUCAGGAGUUCGAGACCAGCCUGGGCAACAUGGUGAAACACUGAUUCUGCAAAAAAUAAAAAAAAAAUUAGCUGGGUGUGGUGGUGUGUGCCUGUAGUCGUAGCUGCCUGGAGGGCUGAUGUAGGUGGAUAGUUCGAGCCUGGGAGGUUGAGGCUGCAGUGAACUAUGAUUGUGUCACUGCACUCCAGCCUGGGCGACANNNNNNNNNNNNNNNNNNNNNNNNNNNNNNNNNNNNAAAGAAAGAGAGAGAGAGAGAGAGAAAGAAAAAAAGAAAGAAAGAAAGAGAAAAAGUGGGCUCUGGAAGGAGCCAGCCACCGUUGCCCUCUGGGCACUCACCAUCUCACCCCUCAGGCUCCAACAGGGUUCCACGUGACCAAUCCCCGAGGGGAGAGGAGACUGCGGAGAGGAUGGGAGGCAAAGCACUUCCUUCAAGCUCCAGGGAGGCAGGAGGAUUUGUUUAGGAGUGGCCCUGUGCAGAGGUAGGGGCAUGGCUGA
rnacentral:lncRNA from 1 species